GACGAACGCUGGCGGCGUGCUUAACACAUGCAAGUCGAACGGAAAGGCCCUGCUUUUGUGGGGUGCUCGAGUGGCGAACGGGUGAGUAACACGUGAGUAACCUGCCCUUGACUUUGGGAUAACUUCAGGAAACUGGGGCUAAUACCGGAUAGGAGCUCCUGCUGCAUGGUGGGGGUUGGAAAGUUUCGGCGGUCGGGGAUGGACUCGCGGCUUAUCAGCUUGUUGGUGGGGUAGUGGCUUACCAAGGCUUUGACGGGUAGCCGGCCUGAGAGGGUGACCGGCCACAUUGGGACUGAGAUACAGCCCAGACUCCUACGGGAGGCAGCAGUGGGGAAUAUUGCACAAUGGGCGGAAGCCUGAUGCAGCAACGCCGCGUGCGGGAUGACGGCCUUCGGGUUGUAAACCGCUUUCGCCUGUGACGAAGCGUGAGUGACGGUAAUGGGUAAAGAAGCACCGGCUAACUACGUG
rnacentral:rRNA from 1 species